rnacentral:rRNA from 1 species
CCUACGGGAGGCAGCAGUAGGGAAUCUUCCGCAAUGGACGCAAGUCUGACGGAGCAACGCCGCGUGAGUGACGAAGGUUUUCGGAUCGUAAAACUCUGUUGUGAGGGAAGAACACGUACCAACUAACUAUUGGUACCUUGACGGUACCUCACCAGAAAGCCACGGCUAACUACGUGCCAGCAGCCGCGGUAAUACGUAGGUGGCAAGCGUUGUCCGGAAUUAUUGGGCGUAAAGCGCGCGCAGGCGGUUCCUUAAGUCUGAUGUGAAAGCCCACGGCUCAACCGUGGAGGGUCAUUGGAAACUGGGGAACUUGAGUGCAGAAGAGGAAAGUGGAAUUCCACGUGUAGCGGUGAAAUGCGUAGAGAUGUGGAGGAACACCAGUGGCGAAGGCGACUUUCUGGUCUGUAACUGACGCUGAGGCGCGAAAGCGUGGGGAGCAAACAGGAUUAGAUACCCUGGUAGUCCACGCCGUAAACGAUGAGUGCUAAGUGUUAGGGGGUUUCCGCCCUUAGUGCUGCAGCUAACGCAUUAAGCACUCCGCCUGGGGAGUACGGCCGCAAGGCUGAAACUUCAAAUGAAUUGACGGCUUGAGACGNGCGAGCGACGACGAGGAGAGG